UUUUAUAAAAAGGUUACCUUUUUAUAAAAAGGAUAUAAAAAGGUUACCUUUUUAUAAAAA
rnacentral:tRNA from 1 species